rnacentral:rRNA from 1 species
CUGGCUCAGAUUGAACGCUAGCGGGAUGCUUUACACAUGCAAGUCGAACGGCAGCACGAGAGAGCUUGCUCUCUUGGUGGCGAGUGGCGGACGGGUGAGUAAUAUAUCGGAACGUGCCCAGUAGCGGGGGAUAACUACUCGAAAGAGUGGCUAAUACCGCAUACGCCCUACGGGGAAAGGGGGGAUCGCAAGACCUCUCACUAUUGGAGCGGCCGAUAUCGGAUUAGCUAGUUGGUGGGGUAAAGGCUCACCAAGGCAACGAUCCGUAGCUGGUUUGAGAGGACGACCAGCCACACUGGGACUGAGACACGGCCCAGACUCCUACGGGAGGCAGCAGUGGGGAAUCUUAGACAAUGGGCGCAAGCCUGAUCUAGCCAUGCCGCGUGAUCGAUGAAGGCCUUAGGGUUGUAAAGAUCUUUCAGGUGGGAAGAUAAUGACGGUACCACCAGAAGAAGCCCCGGCUAACU